rnacentral:rRNA from 1 species
AACGUAGGUACCGAGCGUUAUCCGGAUUUACUGGGCGUAAAGCGCGUUCAGGCGGUUUGGCAAGUCGGGCAUGAAAUCUCUCGGCUCAACCGGGAGAGGUUGUCCGAUACUGCUGGACUUGAGGGCAGUAGAGGGUGGUGGAAUUCCGGGUGUAGUGGUGAAAUGCGCAGAUAUCAGGAGGAACACCGGUGGUGUAGACGGCUUUCUGGGACGGUACUGACGCUGAGACGCGAAAGCGUGGGGAGCGAACAGG